CUGUACAGCAAGCAACCAAGCCUCCUGUAGCAAAGCUGAAAAUAUGCUUGAAAUGCUUGAACAGCCAGACCUCCACUGCUGGCAUAACUUACUGUUCUUUUCAUCCAGCAUGGCAUUGUGUCAAAGAUGAGCAAGUGCUAAUAGGGUAAAUCCCAGCUCUACCACCUACAAAAAAUUAAAUUGAUUUAAUAAUAGCGAUAACUGAGAAACCACCUUGUUUAAAAAAACAAACAACAAAUAUCUAUAAUGCAGCUAGCAAAAGGCAAACAAACAGUACAUAAAGUCUCAUUUUCCAUAUUCAAUGGCUAUUUAUACUUUUGUGGUCCCUAUUCAAAAUAAUGACUAAUCCCAAAGUUUCAUACUCAUAAAUGUUCUAUCAGCAGUUUGCCAUCAUAUUAUGGGCAGAAAUCAAAUCCCAAGUCAACAAAAAUAUCAACGUCUUGAGAUGCAAUUCUUAUCAUCUAUGAAUCUCUCUCUCUCUCUCUUACACACACACCCUCCCCGCCCCCCCACACACCAAACAAACACACAAGAAAUUUAAAACUGCCAAAAAGAUGCAGAAAUAUGAACAUCUAACCAAAUUAGACCAAAUUCAAGGUGAACAGAAACCAAAUAGAAAGAUCUAGUAUUAAAAAGUUAUGAACCUUCUAAUGAGUCCUCUAGGCAUAAAACCCAAAUGCAAUAAAUCAACAUGUUUUCCAUUAGUCAACCAACCUUCUUUUUAUUCCAUGAGGAAGUUGACUUUUGUAUUUAUUGUAUAGAGAAUUACAAACAAAAAUUAGGCAAUCCCCAAAACAUGGUGCCCUAUACAGGAACCAUUGAGGGUCCGAGAAUCUUUGCAAUGGAUCCAAAAAUGAGGUGAGAGCUAAGGGGGGUUCAAAUUCCCCUUGGGAUAGUUGAGAUUUGCUCCUUCACUUGCUAGUGCAUCUGUCUCAGCGUUACAAUUCCUAUGAGUCUGUCUCCAAGAGACUUGGAUACUGCUGCAAAUGUGGCCAAUUUCGACAAAAAUGCUAUCUAGUCACCAAGGGCAGAGGGCAUUGUCAGAAGCUCAAGCAAUAGUGUUGCUGGAAUACCUGCUACCUACACCUUUUUGCUCCAAUGAUGGUUAAAUCUUCUGAGUCCUUUGACUACAGACUUGGCCUCAGCGAAUGUCGAGUCCUUGACUCCGAUAGGUAGGGCAUAAGAAAGGAGGAUUGGGGCUUCAGAAUUCCUAAACAGACGUCUAAUGCCUGAGGGGCCCUGGUUGCCUAGAGAGCAGCCAUCAGAUGGCCCCGGGUUCCGGUGUCCUUCAUAAAGAAGCUUGAGGAAUCCUGUGGGUACUUAGGUGCAGCAACGCUUGCCAAAUUUUGGUGAAGAUCCGAAAAGGAGAAGAUGGAGAAGCUUGGGAGGUUUAGCGCCCAGAAUGUGACAAGUGACCUCCUUUUUCAAUAAGAGCUGAGGUAGAGGCUCCCUCCUCACUAAAGAUCCAAUUAUUCCUCUCAAUUCAAGUGGUCCAAAGAGUGGCUGAGAUAGAUGCUAUCCAUAGAAGAAUUCUUGAAUUUUUCCAAGGAGUUAUAAGGCAUAAGGAGAAGAGGUGAGGGAUCGAUUGGGGAAUGACCCAUAGCCACUUGAAUAGAAGAAGAAGGUCGGUCCAAAGGGCCAAGUCAAGCUCGCAAUUUAGAAAUAGAUGUUGAUUGGUUUCUUCAGCUUUGAGGCACAUGGUGCAUUUGUUAGGAAAAUGGAUACCUCUUUGCCUUAGUUGAUCGAGUGUCAAAGCCCUUCGAUGGAGUGCUAUCCAAGUAAAAAGCUGGAUUUUGAGGGCAAAAAGGAGCACCAAGCCUUGGUGGCUAUAGAGGGAAAAGCCGAGAGGGGAGGAGGAGGGGAGUAUAAGCUUCAGUAAAAUGAAGCAACAGUGAAUGAACCUGUUGGAGAGGGGGAUCAGACAAUUUUGUGACUGCAUGUGGGAGAAAAAAUAUCGAAUCGGGAAAGACCUAGAGAUUAAAAAAUUGGUGAAGCUUGUGGUCAACUAAGAGUCUCCUAAAAUUUGGGUUCCAAGAUCUCGCAUUAGGUGGACCAAUAAUGCCUUUUGCCACCGAAGAGGAAGGGUUAAGGGUCAGACAAAAGAAACUAGCAAGGGAGUAGUAAAGCAAGUGGGGAGGAGGCGAACAAGGAAUCGAGUUUCAUCGUGUCUAUGAGGUCAGUUCGAGUAUGACUAGUUAGAGAGCAAGCUGACUGAAACGAGUAAUUGAUUCAAUUCUCGCUUCGUUGUCAGAGGCAAGUGAGGGAGGAAGUGUGGCAAGUUCAAGCCUCCCUUCCCUUGAGAGGAGGCUAAACGACGCCCGCAAGUAUUUGGUUUUAUUUAGAGACCAUCCAUUACCUUCACUGAGGUUCAGCCGGCGUGCCUUUCUAUCUGCCACAAAGUUGUGUGUAGCCCCGGUGUCUAUCAUAGCCUUAGUAGAUUUUCUAUUGAUAGACACUUCCACAUACAUCAGCUCUCGUGCUUGGGGCUUGACUUUCUUCACUUGCCCCUUCAAUGAGCAGCCUUAGAGACCUCAUGAGUUUUUCCAGUCUAGCGACUACGACUAUAAAGAAAAAGGACAUAAAGAAAAGGGAAAUGCUGGAAAUUGUGGCCUCGAUAAGGGUCACUCAUCAGCCUGGUGAAAGGACUCUCCCUUUCUAUGAAGACAAGUGCCACUUGACUUUGUCAAUAACCAGGCUCCAUAAGUGGAUUCGAGGAAGGCCAAUGCAAGAUGGAAGGCUAAGAUGGGAUGAGGGCAUUGGCUCUACAACACUUCCCCAGGAGUCAGCGAAGCAUUUGACUAUGUCUUGGUCAAGGCAGAUCCUUGUCAUCUUAGUUUUUUCUAGGUUCGCCCUAAAGCCUGCAGCCAACUUGAAGCAUUGGAGGAAAAGCAAUAAACAACUAACUUUUAAAAAAAAUGCAUGGCAAAAAAAGAGGGUAUCAUCGACAUAUUGGAGGUGGAAUAUAGAGAGAUCCGACCUACCCACUUGGAAACCCUAAAUGCGUCCCAUGCUGUACACACGAGAUAGUGAGGCACUAAACACCUCAGCCACUAUGGCAAAUAAGAAAGGUGAAAGGGGGUCCCCUUGGCAGAGCCCUCUCAAAGCAUGAAUGUAACCCUUAGAUGUGUCAUUAAUAAGGUCCAAAAAUUGGGGUUUUGAAAGACACCCUUGGAUCCAUCUCCACCAUAGAGAGCCAAAUGGUAUUAUGGACAAAGUUUCAUCAUCAUAAGUUUUUUUAUUACCAAGUUUGGGAUUUUUGCACUACAGCGGGAAUGGAUGCACUCGUGUGCUAUUAGAGCUCCAUCGAGAAUCUGAAAUUCCUUCACAAAGGUCCCUUGGGAUGAUAAGAUCACCUGACCAAGGACACGUUUAAGGCGGGACGCCAAGCCUUGGGGAUCUUGGCAAUGAAAGUGUCAUUCAUCACCUUAUGGAUAGUAGCUCGAGAGUGAAAUUCAGAAAAGAAAGCCUUGAUAUCAGUCCUAAGGUUAUCCCAAAAGGCUUUGAAGAGGGCUAUGGGGAAGCUGUCAGGGUCGGAGGCCCGGUCUCCAUUGAGGUCUUUAAUGGCUUGGAGUACUUUGUCCUCCUAAAAAGGGCUUUCCAAAGAGGCUGCAGAUUCGGGAGAAAUAGAAGAGAAGGAGAAGUCCGCCAUUACUGGCCUAGGACCAAUAGGGGAAGAGAAAAGCUUGGAAAAAUAGUCGACAGUCGCUGCCUCAACGAGAUUAGAUGGUCAGCAAUUUGGCCCCCAACCUUGAAGUGGGCAAUAGAGUUCUCCCUUCUUCGACAGUUAGCUAUCUGGCAAUCACGUUUGUGGAUGGAUCGAGAAUCCAGCUGAAGUGGAGGGAGGUCUAAGUUCUUUAAUGGAGCCUCAGUUUUGAAUAGACCUCAAAAGGGAGUCUUUUUGGUAUCAGAAGUUUCCAGGGAGCUGUGAACUCCAUGAUUUAAGGAAAACUUUGAGCAUUUGAAGCUUUUUCUACAAGAUAAAACCGGCCCACCCAUUCACGAGGGGGGAGAAGGACUCCCAAUGGUUACAGACAGGAGAGGGGAAACUGAGCUCUUAGAGCCAAGACAGCUCAAAGCGAAAAGGCUUAGGCCCUCAAAGAAGGGACAAGGUAUCCAGCAGAAUAGGUCUAUGAUUUGAAGCGGACUUGGGAAGCACCAGAGAGUGAGUGCUAGGGAAUUCAUGAUCUCACUCGAGAGGGGUUAGAAAUCUAUCUAAACUUGAGAGGCUUGGAUUAGCCGAAUGACUAGACCAACUGAACUCCGCUCCUUCUAACAAGAUGUCUAAAAGAUUGUUAUGAGACCAUCGGGUGAUAUUAAAAUCACCUCCUACGCAUCACUUAAAAAAAGGGAGGGUGGAAUAGAUAGCUAAGGAUGGGCUUGAAUGAGGGCUUGUGCAUGAACGCAUCUGGUGAACAGGCUGGGUAGGCCUCGACAUCAAAGCUUAAUUAGGUGAGGCAAUGGUGGCAACAAGGUUGGGACAUGGGGGGAGAGAAGAGGAGGAGAUGAAUUAGGAGGAAAAUGGUGAGGUGGACUACUGAGGUUAGGGGAGAGCAUACAAAGAGGGGGUGUUGGAGGAAGGGGUUGCAAGUCUAGGAUUGCGUAGAGAAAAGGUGGAGAGAGAGAGGGGAAAGUGAGCAAGGGUAUAGAGGGUACAAGAGCUUGGGCAGAACGAGAUAAAGGAGCAUUCUGCAUGUGAACACGAUUGGAUGGGUGAAAACGGGGGGAAUGGGGCACGAGAGGAGAGGGCACAUGUACACCUUCCAUGUUAAGGAGGGGUUGAGAAAAGGUAACUGAGGAAACAAUAUGGUCAACAAGUGGAAAGAGGGAAAUGGAGGUGGGAGGGAGAGUUGCGUCCCACUUCUCUAAGAUCAGAGGGAGACCCGGACACUUGGUAUCAUGGGAAUGGGAAGGGAAGCAGCGAUCGCAUGCUCACCAUGAGGGGUGCAACGAAGGACAAGGGAUAAGGAGCCAUGUGGCAGCCCCUGAAAAUAGGAAACUGCGAUCUAGAGAUCGCUGAGAUUCAUCCAAGAGAGAAUCAAUGGGGGAUGAUCGAGAAGGAGCCACGUGACUGUUCUAGAUGGGGAGGUAGGGCCGCCUGCUCUAAGGCCAGGGAUGAAUUGCCUAGGGAAAUGGGGUUCGUCGAGCCACCUGUCGUCCCAUCGGCCAUAAUGAUGGGAAGCUCGAGAGGUGGUGAUACUCCUGGGGCAAAGUUUGCUGCACGAUCAAAACUUGGACGCUGAUGGUGAUUUCUUAACUGCCCUCUAUGUGAGACCUUGGUCCAUCCAUCCUGGUGUACUGAGGAACAUGAUCCAAACGGACGAGGAUCGUGGUCUUUAAGGUGGUGGGACGAUGGGGGAGAGGCGAAGGACCCAUGCCAGGGGAAUGUGGAAGAAGAGGCCAUUAACUUUAGCCAAAUAAAGGGUGGGACGAGGGAAGGGGCCAACGAUUCCACGAGAAGUUGGAUUGAUCCAAAAAGAAGGGUGCCUGAGGACUGCCAUGGAUCGAGCUAAACACGCAGCAAGAGUCCCCAAUUUUUUUGAAAGUGUCAAUGUGCCAUGCUUGCAUGGGGAUGUUGGCUGCCUGGAGCCAAAUUGUUUGCAAAAAAAUUGCUCCCAAGUUCUCUCUCCAAGCAGAAAGAGCGAGAGAUGCCCUAUUGAACCGACAAUGGUGUCCCUGUAGGGCACUAUUACGGCUGACUUCAUAUGGGAAAGAGAAAAGAACUUCUCAAGGCAGGUAAGGAUUGAGACAAACCAAACUUCCUUAUUCCAUUUCUCUAACCAUCGAUGUCGUGGGGGAGUGGGGGGGGGGGAGGGUGAAUCGACCCACCAAAGAGGACCUCCAACACUUCCUAAUAUAAGAAGAAUGUGGGCCCCCAAUUGGAACGACAAAAGGGCCGAGGGAGCACCAUUAUGGAUGAUGUGAGAGUAGGUAUGGUAAAGGGGGGAGGGGGGCAGGGGAGUAGCUAGAGAGGAAGAGGGUUGGGCGGAGGAAGGCGGUGGUCGAGUAGGGGCCAGGGCUUAGGUGGAGGAAGGCGGUGGUCGAGGAGGGCCCAGGCAAGGGAGAGGAGAGAAAGCACUCCCAUACGGACCUUGUUGUAGGGAAUUUUUGACACACUUGCAUCCCCGAUAUGAAUAUAGGAGGAACCAGUAGCAACCUAGACCCGCAGGUACCAAAAAUGCCUAGGGACUCUGAGAGCCCCUGACCAAAUAAGCUUAAUUUUGGAAGAAUUAGAAAAGGUGCCAUCUCGACCUCAAAAAGCAUGAGAAGGUAGAAUUUGAUGUCACAUACAUGCUCACUAAGUUUCGUCUCGAUUCGACAAAGAUAAAGCAGAUCAGAAUGAUAUUUCAUUUGUAAUGUUGCUCUCUAACAUGCCCAAAAUACCUCAUAAUUGGAGCUAUACUGUUGAGGCCUCAGGUGGUUGUCAGACAACCACAAUUGAACUCAGAAGCCCCAAAACCUUAGAAUAUCAAGUUUCGGCUCAUUCGGACCCCUUGAAGGCCGACUUUCCCAAAAUGGGUUGGCCUUACACUAUUCAUGAGAGGCUUCAAUGAACCAGUUUCCAUUAAUGGAAACUGUGUUUUUCAAAAAUGGGAUUUCUUCCCAGUGGCAUAACUUCUUCAUCUUGAACCCAAUCGAGUCCAAAUAUUAAAAUGUGAUUCGUUUCAUCGAGACGCACGUUUUGACAUAUGGCACACACAAAUUUUAGAAUGUGGGAAGGUGACGCAAUGAGGUUGUUCAAUUCUCUUGCCUUCCCCUUUUGCUUUUCCUCUUCUUCUCUUCUUAUAUAGUUUAACUCCUUAGAAGGGGCUGUGCUCUUGGUUAAAUCUCUCCCGUGAGGCAGAUCACCUUUGACUCGCCUCAGAGUGCCUUUGCUUACUCCUCUUAUUCUUUCUUCACCCCUCAUCACUCUACUUUUAUUUUAAAGUCACUCUUAGGAGGCUCUUCUGAGGCGCAUCCUGGUUGGGCUUGACCCACCAACAUAGUGUCUUGUGAAUCCCCUAGGGUAUCUGAUCUCGUGCUCAGUACCUUUUUCGUGCCUCCGGUAAUACCUCUUGAGGGAGGUGACGCCAGAGGAUUGCCCUAUUUUCCUUCAUUUUCUCCCGUGCCUCCAGUAAUACCGCCUGAGGGGUGGAAUAGAUGGCUAAGGAUGGGCUUGACAAAGGGCUUGUGCAUGAAACCAUCUGGUGAACAAGCUGAGUGGGGCUCGACAUCAACGCUUGAUUACGCGACGUAAUGGUGCCACCACGGUUACGAGAUGGGGGGAGAGAAAGGAGGAGAUGAAUUCGGAGGAAAAUGGUGAGGUGGAAUAAUGAGGUUAGGGGAGGGCAUACCGAGCGGGGGUGUAAGAGGAAGGGGUUGCAAGCCUGGGAUAGCGUUGAGAGAGGGUGCAGAGAGAGAGGGGAAAGAGAGCAAGGGUAGAGAGAGUAUAGGAGCUUGGGAAGAACGAGAUGAAGGAGCAGUUUGCAUGUGAACACUCGCACCAACAUGUUGGAUGGGUGAAAAUGGGGGGAAAGGGGCACGACAAGAGAGGGUAUUUGUCCACCAUCCAUGUAGAGGUGGGGCUGAGAAAAGGUAACUGAGGAAACAGUAGGGUCAACAAGUGGAAAUAGGGAAAGGGAUGUGCGCUCGACAGUUGCUUGCUACUUUCCUAAGACCAGAGGAAGACCUGAAGGGAUGACACCUGGUGUCACGGGAUUGAAAAGAGAAGCGGCGAUCACAUGCUCACAAGGAGGGUUCGACGAAGGACAAGGGACGAGGAGCUAUGUGACAUCUCCUGAAAAGAGGAAACUGCGAUCAAGAGAUCGUUGAGAUGCACACUAGAGGAGGAUCGAUUGGGGGACAAUCAAGAAAGAGCCGCCUGCCCUAAACCCAAGGAUGCUUGCCUUGGGAAAUGGGGUUUAUGAAGCCAUCUGUCGUCCCAUCGACCUUAAUGAUGGGAAGCUUGAGAGGUGGUGAAGCUCUUGGGGCACCAGUUUGCUUAAUACCAACUCUGUGAGCUGCACGAUCGAAACUUGGAUGCUGAUGGUCAUUUCUCGACCGCCCUCUAUGUGAGACCUUGGUCCAUCCAUCGUCGUGUACUGAGGAACGUGAUCCAAACAAAGGAGGAUCAUGGUCUUUAAGCGGGACGCUGGGGGAGAGGUGGAGGACCAGCCAGGGGAAUGUUGAAGAAGAGGCCAUCAGCUUCAACCAGAUGGAGGGCGGGAUGAGGGAAGGGGCCAACGAUUCCAUGAGAAGUUGGAUUGAUCCAAGAGGAAGGGUGCCUGAGGACCGCUAGUAGACCAAGCUAAUGCAUCGCAAGAGUCCCCAAUUUUUUUGAAAGUGCCGAUGUGUCACACCUGCAUGGGGAUGUUGGUGGCCUGGAACCAAAUUGUUUGCAGAACGGCUUCUAGGUUCUAAUUCCAGGUAGAAAGGGCAAGAGAUGCCCCAUCGAACAGAGAAUGGUGUCCCUGCGGGGCACAAUUACGACUGACUUCGGAUAGGAAAGAGAAAAUAAAUUCUUCAGGCAGGUUAGGUAUGAGAGAACCCAAACUUCCCUAUUCCAUUUCUCAAUACCAUUGAUGUCGUGCUUGGCGGUGGUGUAUCGGCCUACCGAAGAGGACCUCAAAGCCUUCACAAUAUUGGAAGACUAUGGCCGCCCAAUUGGAAUGGUGAAUGGGGUGAGGGAGCUCCAUUAUGGAUGAGGUUGGUGUAGCUAUGGUAAGGAGGGGGGGAGAGGUUAGAGACGAAGAAGCUUGGGCGAAGGAAGGCGGUGGUCGAGUAGGGUUCAGGGCUUGGGCGGAGGAAGGCGAUGGUCGAGGAGGGCUCAAGCGAGGGAGAAGAGGGAAAACACUCUCAGACGGACCCAAGUUCAUUGAAUAACUCUCUCUAUGUAUUUUUAAUUAUCUCUAAUAUGGUCAACCAACCUUCUUCCUCUCAAUCACUGGUGGUACAUACAAAAAAUUAUUCAGCAGUCAACCAACCUUCUUCCUCUCAAUCAUUGGUGGUACAUACAAAAAAUUACUCUCCAGUUUAGUACUAUUACCACAAAAAGUUCUUAAUAUCUUAAAGAUCUUAAAAGAAUAAAACAUGAAUUUUAAAAUUAUAAAUAUUAUUCUUUUACCAAAGUAUCUAUACAUAAUUAAAGUUAUAGUAAAAUAAAAAAAACUAACAUAAAAAACAUUUUGAGAUGUGAACAAGCAAAUGCCUCCAUGUUUGUCACCAAAAAAUGACAUGCUUGGUGAGCCUCAUCAGAUGGUCUACUGGUGUGUUAGAAGUAGCAAUAGAUUAAUCGGAUAUAGUGGUAGAGCCACACACCAAAACAUGUCUAAAAACUGCAUCUUUGAUUCAUCUAAUCCAUUCAGCUACUUACAUGUUCUAUGAGCAGAUUAAAUACUGCCAAACUCAUGAGUGCACAAUAUCAUCAUGAAUAUGACAAAUCAAAAUGAAAUGACUCCAGAUCCAAUGAUCGCAUGGGCCAAAUGAAAAAUUCAACAGUUAUCAAGAUAGAAUUGGGAAGAGGAAUAAGAAUUCCAACUAAAAUAAAAGCUAUUAUGCAUCUUACCAAUUGCUCAUCAGUUUAUGAUUAAAUUUAACAAGCAGGUCAUAAAUGACCAAAACAAAAUUCAUGUCUACAAAUAGAGUCAUAUGAUGUUGAUUAUUUCUUAAUGUACACCUAAAAUGAAAUCAAAUGCACAUAGUUACAUACCAUCUUAAACAUACCUAUGUACACAUUAUUCACAAAUCCCUCUGGAAAUACAAAAAGUGGAUCGUUAUCAAGGGCUUCAACAUGUUGUUUCAUUCCAUGAUAAUAAAACUCACUAAUUUAGGGUUGCCACAACACAAUAAAGACACUAUAAUAAGCUCCAUCAAUUAACAAUAUCCUCAAUUCUUUACAACGAUUUCAUGACCCUUGGCUAGGUAGAAAUCAAUUUUAUGACUUGGGUAGGGACCAAGAUUAGCUAUAUAAACUACUUGGCCUAGAUCGCAACUAAAGUUUGUCAAAGUGGUUUGUAAAUUUUAUAUACAAUUUGUGGGAUGCCCAUCGGAUUGGGUAUACAUGGCCCAUGUUCAGCCAUGCUAUGCGGACUCUAAAAGAAAAUAAUUGUACUUUGUUGUGAUUGAACCAUGAAAAAAAUUUAGUUAACAUUAUCAUAAAAAAAGAAAAAAUGGGCCAAAUGCAAUGCUCUUUAGUAAUGCCAAAAUCGAUCCAUCUUACUGUGCAAUAGACUUGCUAGCCUUUAGUAUCAUGACAUUGCGGCUACUAAUGAGCAACAUUAUUUCUCUUGCUAAUGCUCAUUGUUUUGUUUCAAUUUUCUAUGUUUGGAGUUACUACUUCUCAUUUUGAAUUCUUUUUAGUACUCAUUCCAUGUAUAAAGGCGUAGUAGGGAGGAAUCGAAGGAAUCUCGAAAGAUGGGCACAGGUGGGGACAGGUUUGGCAUGCACAUUGUGUAGUGGGAAUAAGAGAAGCCGCAACGGAUCUUUGAAUGGAAAAAGCAUCACAAUUCUUGUUUAGGAAGGCAAGCUAGACAUAAAUGUGGGCUACCUUCGAGGAACUAUGUUGCAUCGUACACUCAAUAGUGCAAACUGAGGAUUUGGGAAUCCAAAAACGAGCAGAUGGAUUUGUAUACACCACGAGGUUAUGGAGCAUGGUGAGCAUAAAUUAGUUAUUUUUAUGUAGUUUCUCUAUUUUCCUUAAAUAAUCAUUAGCAUAGAGUGCAGUUUAAUGUUCCUACAAUUUCGAUGAAAUAGAUAAGCCAUGUGAAUAGAAGCAUAUAGAUCUAGGACACCCUUAUGAUGGUCCAAGAGCGAGGGCCCAAUGCUUAGGGGACCUUGUAGGGGCCUUAAGUUCCAUAUAUAAUCACUAUUACAAGCAGCAAUAGUCAACAACAGAGGCUUCCAAAAAGCAAUUGCCAAUGCCUGUUUAAUUCCUUCAGUUUUAAAUGAGAACCUUGGCCAAUCGAGCAAAACAUGCGCACAAGAGCAAGCUCCCAUGUUGCAGCAAGGGUCCUUCCAUGACUCGUUGAUAAAUGUAUCGAUGCCUUCGAUUAUUGAAUGCUAGGAAAUAGGAGGUGCAGGUGGGGCUAGCAACUUCCUUUAUUCCACAUCUUCUAUGCAAAUGAACAGCUUGUUUUAUGGCGUCAAUGAUAGACAUGUCCUCCACUUCUUCCCAUGCAUGCCAAUCAGCAAUCAGGUCAGCCCAGAUCACUCAGAGUUCAGGAAAUUUUAACUCUACAAUUGCUUUCACCUCUAUAGUAUACUGGACUUCAAUAAAAGUGAUAUGUCCUCCAUGCAUGACGAUCGGGGUGAAAUUCCAAAGCAUGCAUGUUCCCGGUGCAAAAAAUUCAAGAUUAGUUAUUUUGCUAGGGGUACAUGGAAAAAAAAAAAGAACUCAAAAUUAGGUAAUAUAAUCAUAUAAAUUGCUCACUCAACCAUGAGAGUAAUGAGUAUUCAAAAAUUGAAAAUUCCCAUGCAGAUUUAGAAAAAAUAGGAGACACAUAUGCCCAAGUCAAACUGUCGAUUGAUAUCAACAGACCUUAUUGAUCACGCAAGGAGAAAAUAUUCUUGGCAUUGUAUACAAAGAGACCAUUUACUUUUUGUAAAAAGGGAUCACAAUUAUUCCUACUCAUUGGAUGUCAAAUUUGAUGGCUUAGGGUGAGUCACCAAGUUCGAGAAGUUGUUUUUAAUACUUUGAGUAUAUUUAAUGACACUCCUACAACGACCCAAUUUGAGAUCAAGGGAUAUGAAUGAUUAUGACCUCCUUGUAUAAAAAGUAAAUGGUCUCUUUGUAUACUUUUUCAUUGUUUUAUAUAUGCUUAAGUAAAAAACUCAGAAGCAAAUGUUCUACAUGUAAAUGUGCUUCAUACUUCUUUCAUGGGUAGCAACAUUUAUUUUUCAUUUUGUUUGUGCAAAUGUGCAUGAACCGGUGUGUGUCCUCGUGUAAGGGGGAGAGAGAGAGAGGAGCUUGCACAAUUACAAAGUAAUAUCAUAAAUAUGGAUAUGGUUUGCUCUAGCUGCUGGGGAUACGGAGAGGGGAAUAAGGGGAUAAAAGUGCUGAAAAAAAUAUAGAUUUAAGAGAAUGUAUAAUGAAAAGGUUCUUUAAUCACAUACAUAGUAGGAUGGAAAGAACAAGAGGAAUUGGUGAGAAAUGAUUACAAGAUUACUUAUAAUGGCAAAUACCACCAGAGAUUACAAUACACAGAGAAUUCCCCAAUUUCACGAACUGAGCUUUAAUUAGUUAUUUAGAUAUUCCUCCAGCCUAAAGGGUCCAACAACAUAGAAUAACAAUAUAAAAUAAUACCUGUACAGCAAGCAACCAAGCCUCCUGCAACAAAGCUGAAAAUAUGCCAGCAGUGCUUGAACAACCAGACCUCCACUGCUGGCAUAACUUACUGUACUUUUCAUCCGGCAUGGCAUUGUGUCAAACAUGAGCAAGUGCUGCUAGGGUAAAUCUUAGCUCUACCACCUACAAAAAAUUACAUUGAUUUAACAAUAGAGAUAACUGAGAACAAACAACAAAUAUCUAUAAUGCAACUAGCAAAAGGCAAACAAACAGUACAUAAAGUCUCGCUUCCCAUAUUCAAUGGCUAUUUAUACUUUUGUGGUCCCUAUUCAAAUAAUGACUAAUCCUAAAGUUUCAUAAUCGCAAAUGUUCUAUUGGCAGUUUGCCAUCAGAUUAUGGGCAGAAAUCAAAUCCCAAGUCAACUAAAAUAUCCAUGUCUUGAGAUGCAAUUCAUAUCAUCUAUGAAUCUCUCUCUCUCUCNNNNNNNNNNNNNNNNNNNNNNNNNNNNNNNNNNNNNNNNNNNNNNNNNNNNNNNNNNNNNNNNNNNNNNNNNNNNNNNNNNNNNNNNNNNNNNNNNNNNNNNNNNNNNNNNNNNNNNNNNNNNNNNNNNNNNNNNNNNNNNNNNNNNNNNNNNNNNNNNNNNNNNNNNNNNNNNNNNNNNNNNNNNNNNNNNNNNNNNNNNNNNNNNNNNNNNNNNNNNNNNNNNNNNNNNNNNNNNNNNNNNNNNNNNNNNNNNNNNNNNNNNNNNNNNNNNNNNNNNNNNNNNNNNNNNNNNNNNNNNNNNNNNNNNNNNNNNNNNNNNNNNNNNNNNNNNNNNNNNNNNNNNNNNNNNNNNNNNNNNNNNNNNNNNNNNNNNNNNNNNNNNNNNNNNNNNNNNNNNNNNNNNNNNNNNNNNNNNNNNNNNNNNNNNNNNNNNNNNNNNNNNNNNNNNNNNNNNNNNNNNNNNNNNNNNNNNNNNNNNNNNNNNNNNNNNNNNNNNNNNNNNNNNNNNNNNNNNNNNNNNNNNNNNNNNNNNNNNNNNNNNNNNNNNNNNNNNNNNNNNNNNNNNNNNNNNNNNNNNNNNNNNNNNNNNNNNNNNNNNNNNNNNNNNNNNNNNNNNNNNNNNNNNNNNNNNNNNNNNNNNNNNNNNNNNNNNNNNNNNNNNNNNNNNNNNNNNNNNNNNNNNNNNNNNNNNNNNNNNNNNNNNNNNNNNNNNNNNNNNNNNNNNNNNNNNNNNNNNNNNNNNNNNNNNNNNNNNNNNNNNNNNNNNNNNNNNNNNNNNNNNNNNNNNNNNNNNNNNNNNNNNNNNNNNNNNNNNNNNNNNNNNNNNNNNNNNNNNNNNNNNNNNNNNNNNNNCUCUACUCUACUCUCUCUCUCUCUCUCUCUCUCUCUCUCUCUCUCUCUUUCUCUCUCUCUCUCUCUCUCUCUCUUACAUGCACACACACACAAACACACACACCCUCCCCACACCAAACAAACCCACAAGAAAUAAAAAACUGACAAGAAGAGGCAGAAAUACGAAUAGUUAACCAAAUUCGACCAAAUUCAAAGUGAACAGAAACCAAAUAGAUCUAGUAGUAAAAAGUUUUGAACCUUCUGAAGAAUCCUCCAGGCAUAAAACCCAAAUGAAAUAAAUCAACAUGUUUCCCAUUAGUCAACCAACCUUCUUUUUUUUCCGAGGAGAAUGAUAAAGUGAGACAAUAACAAACAUGUUCUUACCUUCUCAAGAAACUUUAGUUCAAUUCUCCUUUCCUAUCUUGCAUCAAAUUCCAGCCUGCGAGUAGCUCAAUCAUAGUAUUGCUUUGAUAAUAAAAGAAAAGAAAGUAUCCAAAGAUGGAUAGAUAUCCAGAGAAAAUGGUGGUGGUGGUUACCCGAGCACUGCUUGAGCCUUUUCAAUGGCUGCAUGAAGUGGAGAGGUUCAGUUAUCCAGCAUAACAACACUCUUUUUGAUCAAUUUGCAUAAUAUUUGGACAUAAGGUAUUCAUGACUUUAUAAUAUAUUCUAUAAACUAUUGCUAGGUUUUGAGAACCUUGGAUCAUAUUAUUCCAGACAAAUAUUGAAAAAUCAAAUAUAAUUGUACCUAAAACUAUAAAAUGGUCAGAUAUUAGACUACCACAAUCAUGGGCAUUACAAAAUGCCAAUCAACCCCAAGAGGUUCCUCAACAUCAUAUUCCUAAUCAAAUAAUAGCACAUCCUGAUGGUAAUAUUGAAAUUAAGUUUCAACAAUUACAAGUUCAAGAUGACAUUGAUAUAAAUAGAAAAAGGAAUAGUAAAAAUAAAAUACCAAGUAGAAAAUCUUACUCUAAUAAUCCAAAUGUCAUAAUACUACCACCUCCUACUUCUUCCAUACCUAGUUCAGACUUACAAUUUCAAGGAACAAGGAGAACAACAGAUCAUGUUGUUAUUCCUACUUAUACUCCUGAAUCUAAUACUACAAAUACUACUGAACCUAGUAUAGAAGAAUUACACGACUUUCAAAUAUUAACCUUACAAGUAGAAGAAUAUAACAAUUCCUAUUAUCAAUAUUCAGAUGAAUAUAUAGCAGCAUAUUUAGCCGCUAAACUAGAAAGAAAAAAAAAAACAAUUGAUCAUAACUAUAUUAAGCAAGAUUUUAUGUCAAAUGAAAAUAGACAUAUCAGACAAUGGUAUCUGACAAAUGUACCAUUACCAUUAAGAGAAAAAUUACAGGCCAAAUAUAAUAAAUUCCUUAAAAAAGAAAGAGAAUCAGAAGGAUAUUUUUUAUGGUUAAUAAGUAACUAUCAACAUCAGCUUCAUAUCUCUUCUGCUUUUAAUGAGAUUCAAACAAUAGAAGCAAAAACCUAUAUAAGUACUGAUGGUACUACCACUGCUAGUACUCAUCCACCUGAGAAAAGCAUUAUACUUAAAACAACAGUCUCAGGAAAGGAUACUCCUGCUCAACCUCCAUCCUUAUAUGAUAUAAUUGCAACUCCAUACAAAAUCUUACCUAAAGAACUUGGUAAGAAACAAGAGUUAAUACCUCAUAUUGUGGAACAAAAUAAUUAUACCAAUUUGUAUAUGCAAUCCUUAGGGAAGCAAGCAGAGAGAAUAGAAAGAUUUGUUACCAAAGAACAACCUUCUAUUACAACCAUCCCUAAAUCAGUUUUGUUCAAACCACCUCCAGAAUUGAAUAAGAAUAAAUUUCAUAUAGGAGAUAAUAAUAAAUCCCUUAUGGAUCAGUUAAUAUCUUAAAUCAACAUUUCUUAAUACGUACGGACUGCAAAUCAGCCAAAGAUAUCUUGCAAAAAGAUGUUCAAAAUUUGGUUUCUAGUCCAGCUCGCUUCUCCUUUCCUCUCUCAAUCAAAUUCUCAACUGCUUUGAUAUUUAAAAAAAAGAAAAAAAACACCCAAUGACGGACAAAUAUCUAGAGGAAAAUGGCAAUGGUAGUUACCUAAGCUCUGCCUUUUCAAUGGCUGCAUGAUGUGGAGAGGUUUGGUUAUCCAGCACAAUAACUUUGCUAUCAACAUCGUCUUCCGCUCCCAAUACUUCUAACUCUAAACAUUAAGCAAGACACCCACCCAUCUUAACAGCACCAUCACAUGGAUGAAUAUAUAUAUAUNNNNNNNNNNNNNNNNNNNNNNNCCCCUAAUCCCCCUGUCGUCGCUUCGCCUACCCACGCUAGCAUAAUACAAGCCUUUCAACCACGUUACGGUGUUGCAUCAAAAUACUUUGUACCUUUUUUGAUGGAUAACAAAAUUUCUAUAUAUAAAAAGGAUCAAAGAACACAAAAAUACAAAAGCGAAUGACAUGGGUCAAGAGCUGCCCUGAGCCAGAAAUCAUCAUCUCAAAGACCAGCUGGUCUCCCUCUGCCUCUACAAAGAUACCUAAAGACAGAUUUUCAAUUUUAUUUUUCUUAUUUGGGAGAUAACAGUAAGCUGAAGGGUGGCUACAUCCAGCAGCAUGAGUAAGGACAUAAGUCAGGCAGCAGAAAAGCUGAAAAUUGAAGUGCAUCGAUGGUUCUCUAGAAAUUAAAUAGUGGCCUUAUCAGAGUUACACAGAUGCUCAUUCAAACUUUGCACAGAUAUGGCCCUUAUCCUCUUGAUUGAUGAUCAGUUAGAGAGAGAGGGAGAACCACUGCACCUUUCCUUUUCCACUUGUUCCUUCUUCUAUUUGUAUUUCUGUUACAAUCUCUUUAUGUUCUCUCUCUCUUUCUCACUAAAAGAAUGCAAACCUUUAUCUCUCUAACUAUUUACAAAUGUAAUUCUCUUUCUCUUACUAAAAAACAGUGCACAUAAGUAAGAGACAGAGCUUUGUCAAAGGAUGCUAGUAUGAAGUAAAGUCGGGGCAUGGAAGCAAACAGAAGUCUAAUCCAGUACCUCAAAAGGGGUCAGAUAUCCUUCAAUCUCGGCAAUGCAAUCAUUUAUAGGCGGCAAAAGUUCCAAUAUAUGGGCAUUGGAUAGUGCUUUCUAUGCAGCAAGUCUGACUGGCACUUCUAUUGUACGGUGGAGAUAUACACCUAAUUGCUGGCCAAAUAGGAGACAGCACUGAAUUGCUCAAUGGGGAUCUCAAUGAAAGAGCGAUAACUUUCAUGGACCUCUUUUACGAAGUAAAGGAUUUUUCUGCUAUAUACACUAGGGGAUUUUUCAAUUUUAGGAACUUCAGGUCUUCUUUGUCUCAGUUUGUCCAGACGUUGCCCAUACAUGUCGUGUAAAGUUUUGAAAGUAUCUCUGGUUUGCUUCUCUUCAAGAAUGUCAUUUCUUUUGAGGAAAACCAUAAACAGUGCAUGUAAUUUCCAAACCAAAGGAACAUGUAAAAUUGGCGAACUUGGAUUUUCAGAGCAUAAUGCAGACAUAGCUUCAAGACCCAUCAGAAAGAAAUGCCCACUCCUGGCAAAAUCUAUACUCUCAGUGGUAUCGACAGGUGCCAAAGGACUCAGGAACCAAUGCACAGGAAGUGGUAAUCUCUGGUUUGUCCCCCUCUAUUUGCAAUGUGAUAUACUGCAUAUUUCCAGCUGAACUACUUGGGGCAUCAACAGUUUCUUCAUAAAUUGUAUCCAAAUUGCCAAACUUUAGUUUGGUUUUGUCUAGGGUUGCUUUUGUAUGACGGAUAUCUUUUCAUUUUAAUUCUUGUGGUUGUAAUUAUUUAAAAGCAAAAACUUUAUUAAGAACCUGAAAGAAAUGAAAACAAGAGGUCAAGCAACUCAAAUUCCUCUCGCAUCAGAUACACCUUUAUUAAAGAGUGAGCCCAAGGAAGUGGUGGAGGUCAGGAUGCUAGCAUAUGCCCUUUUGCUCCUUUCUUUUCUGGCCAGGCAUUUUCCCUCUCUCUCUUGCAUAUCAGAGUUACGCAGAUGUAGGCAAAGGAAAGCAAACCCCUUAUCCUCUUAAUUGAUGAUCAGUUAGAAAGAGAACUACCGCAUCUUUUCCUUUUCCACUUGUUCCUUCUUCCAUGUGUUUUUCUGCAAUCUCUUUAUGUUCUCUCUCUCUCAAAGAAUGCAAAUCUUUCUCUCCCUAACUGGUACAAAUGUACUUCUCUUUCUCUCAACAAUUGAAGCAGCUGCCAUUCCAUUUAUUUAUUAUCAUAGUGGUCUAGAAACAAACCACAAUCAUUUUCUCAUGACACAUAAAACUGAAGAAGUUUCUCAAAAAAUCCCAAUCUUCAAACUAAUCUCCCACUUUACACAGGGACGCAGAGCGGAAAAAACAGGUGAACGUGAUUGGUUUAGCCCCCUCUUUUUUUUUUUUUUAAUAUAAACGGAGGUUGUGGACGAACUGGCUGGCUUAGUCGGCGCAGCUCGGCUGAUAUCGGCUCUGCUCGGCUGAUAUCGGCUCGGCUCGGCUGAUAUCGGCUCGGCUCAGCUGAUAUCAGCUCAGCUGAUAUCAGCUCAGCUCUGCUGGUAUCUGCUCGGCUCGGCUUAUAUUAUUCGGCUCUGCUCAGUUCCAUUACAAAUUGAAGUGAAAUAGGCUGAGCCGAGCCGAAUCUAGCCGAGCUGAGCCUAAUAUAGCCGAGCCGAGCUGAAUGUAGCCGAGAUGAGCUGAUUUAAGCCGAGCCGAGCCGAUAUUCAUAAUCUUUGGCUGCAUCGAGCCGAUACGAGCAGAGUAAAACUAACCCCAUUAUAUUUAAGCCCAAACUAGCCCUAUAAAAACCAAAAAGCAUUUCUAAAAAUUCGGUAAAAAUUAGAAGAAAAAAUAUAUUAGUAUUUAGCAUCAAAAGCUAUCAAUAAAAAUAUAGAAAACUAUUUAGAUAUCAUAAAAAUAAAUUUUCUUAGGUAGGCUCAAAUUUUUAACUCUUUUCUUGGCUCUUUCUCUCUAUAAAACCGUCAGUUUCAAUCUCCUCCUGGAUGCUCUAUUAUUGAUCGUAAAAAAUUUAAAACCUCAAUUUCCUUAAACCCGAACCUACAAGGCCAAAACUUGAACCCGCAUGCUCGCAAGUCGUCGUUUAAAACACGAGUUUUUAAAAAAUCUCUGAGUUUUGAAUUCCUUUAAUAACCUGAAUUUUUUCAAUAGAUCUUCAACAAAUCAUAUUUUUUAACAAAAAAAAUAUAUAUAUGUACUUCAUGUUUUAUGAAAAACACUUCGGUAAUAUGAUCUCUUGCAUAUUUAGACAAAAUAUGAAAAUUUGAAAAUUUGAAAAUUUGAAAAAUACUUCGGUAAUAUGAAAUUUGAAAAACACUUCGGUAAUAUUAUCUCUUGCAUAUUUAGACAAAAUAUGAAAAUUUGAAAAACACUUCUGUAAUAUGAAAAACACUUCUGUAAUAUGAAAAACACUUCUGUAAUAUGAAAAACACAAAAUUUGAAAAUUCCUAUGCAUAUUUAGACAAAAUAGGAGACACCUAUGCCUAAGUCAAAUUGUAAAUUGAUAUCAACUGACCUUAUUGAUCACGUAAGGAGCAAAUGUUCUCGGGAUUGUAUAUAAAGAGACCAUUUACUUUUUGUAUAAGGGGUUCACAAUUAUUUCUACUCAUUGGAUGUCAAAUUUGUUGCCUUAUGGUGGGUCACAAAGUCCGAGAAUUUUUUUUACAAACUUUGAGUUUAUCUAAUGAAACUUCUACAACCACCCAAUUUGAAAUCUAAGGGACAUCAAUGAUUGUGAUCUCCUUGUACAAAAAGUAAACGGUCUCUUUGUAUAUUUUUUUAUUGUUUUAUAUAUGCUUAACUAAAAAACCCAUAAGCAAAUGUUCUACAUGUAAAUGUUCUUAAUACUUCUUUCAUGAGUAGCAAUAGUUAUGUUUCAUUUUGUUUGUGCAAAUGUGCACGUGCACGUGUGUCGGCAUGUAGGGGGAGAGAGAGAAAGAGAGAGAAAGGCCCUUGCACAAUUACAAAGUAAUAUUAGGAAUAUGGAUAUGGUUUUGCUCUAGCUGCUGGGGAUAAGGAGAGGGGAAUAAUGGGAUAAAAGUGCUGAAAAAAAUAUAGAUAUAAGAGAAUGUCCAAUGAAUAGGUGCUUUAAGCACAUACAUAGUAGGAUGGAAAGAAUAAGAGGAAAUGAUGAUAAAUGGUUACAAGAUUACUUACAAUGGCAAAUACCACUAGAGACUAUAAUACACUGAGCAUUCCCCAAUUUCACGAAUUGAGCUUUAAUCACUUAUUUAGAUAUUCCUCCAGCCUAAGGGGAUCAACAACAAACCGAAUUUAGCUGAGCCGAGCCGAUAUUUGUCAUUAUUGGCUGAGCCGAGCUGAGUCCCACUACAUUAUUAGAAAAUAUAUUAAUAUUUUUAACUCUUUUCUUGGCUCUCACGCAGUUUCUCUCUAAAGCCCUUAGUUUUCUCUCCUCCUCUUGGAUGCUCUAUUAUUGAUCAUAAAAAAUUAACCCAGUUCCUGGAUGCUCUAAUAUUGAUCAUAAAAAAUUAGAAACCCCAAUUUCCUUAACCCCGAACCUACAAGGCCAAAACUUGAACCCCCAAGCUAGCAAGUCGUCAUCUAAAACACGAGUUUUAAAAAAAUCUCUGAUUUUUUAAAUCUUUUAUGAAUGCUGAGUUUUUUCAAAAAAUCUUCAAAAAAUCAUAUUUAAAUAUAUUUAUAUAUAUAUAUCCGUACUUACAUUUUUUAUAAAAAAAACUUCUUCCCUGUAAUUUUUUAAGUAUGCAUUUUUUCCAGAGAGACAGAAGAGGUAAUAUGAUCUCUUGCAAUAGAGGCAGAGAGUAUGGCUUCUUUCAAGUCCUUUCUUUCCAUAAAGUCUCUCAUCUUGUAAAAUGCUCUGUGUGCUAUGCGACCAAUCUUCUUUCUCUAUUAUUGAUGGCAUAGGAUUUUUCACUUAUGCAGUUAUUUAAUAAUGGCACCAAUUUUGUUGGUUACUUCCUAGACGUGAAAUUGCGCUCAAACGUCUUUCUCUUUACAAAAUCUACAGUCUCUUUUCUUGUUCUUGGACAAGGAUAGAAUAUCAAAUGGGAAAGUCAUUUUUCUAAGUGUGCCACUUGCAAUGCUACCUUAGUUAAGCACAUGAGAAUCUCAUUGCGUCAUUCCGAGAUAAUUUGGAGCAUGCACAAUUAUAUUCAGUGCCCUCCAUUGGUUUUAUAGAAAGUAAAAAGCAUGUAUUGUAAUAAAUAUAAGGGCAAAAGUUUGUCCAAAAUUUUGGAUUAUAGGUUUCUAAAAUCACCAAUCAGAAAUAAGAUGUGUGUGUAUAAAGAUACACACAGGAAUAUUCAUGGCCCAUUUUAUACUAAAGCAAAGCAACCAAACUCAUAUCUCAAAGUCAGAGGAAAGACCAGGCUAGAACAAAUGAGCAGAAAUACAUGCCAAUCAACACACCCACACAGUGAAAUCUUCAUCCUCAUCCUUCUCCAAAAACUUAUUUAUAUAAUCAAGGCAAAAUAUAUACAAGAUGUAAUAAACAGAAAAAGAGGCUUCUACAAAGCCACUGGCUUGCUUCGAAUGUCAAGAGAACGUGAAAAUGUGGCUUUAUAAAAAGCAAUUGCUAAUGCCUUUUUAAUUCUUUCAGCUUCAAAUGAGAACCUUGGCAAAUCGAGCAAAACAUGCGCACAAGAGCAAGCUCUCCAUGUUGCAGCAGAGGGUCCUUCCAUGAAUCGCUGAUAAAUGUAUCGAUGCCUUCGAUUAUUGAACGCUAGGAAAUAAUAGGUGGGGCUAGCAACCCUCUUUAUUCAGCGUCUUCCAUGCAAAUGAACAACUUCUCUUAUGGCAUCAAAGAUGGACAUGUCCUUCACUUCUUCCCAUGCUUGCCAAUCAGCAACCAGGUCUGCUCAGAUCACUCAGUUCAGGAACUUUUAACUCUACGAUUGCGUGCACCUCAAUAGUAUACUUCAGGAUGGACUUCAAUAAAAGUGAUAUGUCCUCCAUGCAUGAUGAUGGGGGUGAAAUUCCAAAGCAUGCAUGUUCCUAAUGCAAAAAAUAAAAAGAUUAGUUAUUUUGCUAGGGGUACAUGGAAAAAAAAGAAAUCAAAAUUAGGUAAUAUAAUCAUAUAUUCACUCAACCAUGAGAGUAACGAGUAUUCAAAAUUUGAAAAUUCCUAUGCAUAUUUAGACAAAAUAGGAGACACAUAUGCCCAAGUCAAAUUGUCGAUUGAUAUCAACAAACAAUAAUGAUCACGCAAGGAGCAAAUGUUCUCGGGAUACUUUUUGUAUAAGGGGGUCACAAUUACUUCUACUCAUUGGAUGUCAAAUUUGAUGGCUUAGGGUGGGUCACAAAGUCCGAGAAUUUUUUUUUUCAAACUUGAGCAUAUCUAAUGACACUCCUACAACUAUCCAAUUUGAGAUCUAAGGGACAUAAAUGAUUGUGACCUCCUUGUACAAAAAGUAAAUGAUCUCUUUGUAUACUUUUUUAUUGUUUUAUAUAUACUUAACAAAACAACCCAGAAGCAAAUAUUCUACAUGUAAAUGUGCUUAAUACUUCUUUCAUGGGUAGCAAUAGUUAUUUUUCAUUUUGUUUGUGCAAAUGUGUAGGUGCACAUGUGUGUCGGCGUGUAAGGGAGAGAGAGACAGAGGCUUGCACAAUUACAAAGUAAUAUUAGGAAUGUGGAUAUGGUUGGGACAAAAGUGCUGAAAAAAAUAUAGAUAUGAGAUAAUGUAUAAUGAAUAGGUGCUUUAAUCACAUACAUAGUAGGAUGGAAAGAAUACGAGGAAAUUGUGAUAAAUGGUUACAAGAUUACUUAUAAUGGCAAAUACCACAAGAGACUACAAUACACAGAAUUUCCCAAUUUCACGAUAUGAGCUUUAAUCAGUUAUUUAGAUAUUCCUCCAGCCUAAGGGGAUCAACAACAUAGAAUAACAAUAUUAAAUAGUACCUGUACAGCAAACAAGCCUCAUGUAGCAAAUGCUGCUAAGCUGAAAAUAUGCCUGAAAUGCUUGAACAGCCAGACCUCCACUGCUGGCAUAACUUACUGUUCUUUUCAUCCAUCAUGGCAUUGUGUCAAACAUGAGCAAGUGCUGCUAGGGUAAAUCCCAGCUCUACCACCUACAAAAAAUUACAUUGAUUUAAUAAAAGAGAUAACUGAGAAACCACCUUGUUUAAAAAAACAAACAACAAAUAUCUACAAUGCAGCUAGCAAAAGGCAAACAAACAGCACAUAAAGUUUCAUUUUCCAUAUUCAAUGGCUAUUUAUACUUUUGUGGUCCCUGUUCAAAAUAAUGACUAAUCCCAAAGUUUCAUACUCACAAAUGUUCUAUUAGCAAUUUGCCAUCAUAUUAUGGGCAGAAAUCAAAUCCCAAGUCAACUAAAAUAUCAAUGUCUUGAGAUGCAAUUCAUAUCAUCUAUGAAUCUCUCUCUCUCUCUCUCUCUCUCACACACGCACACACACACACACACACACUCCCCACCACCACCACCACCAAACAAACACACAAGAAAUAAAAAACUAACAAAAAGAGGCAGAAAUAUGAACAUCUAACCAAAUUCAAAGUGGACAGAAACCGAAUAGAAAGAUCUAGUAUUAAAAAGUUCUGAACCUUCUAAUGAAUCCUCUAGGCAUAAAACCCAAAUGCAAUAAAUCAACAUUGUUCUCCAUUAGUCAACCAACCUUCUUUUUUUUCCUGGAGGAAGUUGACUUUUGUAUUGAUUGUAUAGAUAAUUACUAACAAAAAUUAGGCAAUUCCCAAAAUAGGGUGCCCUAUACAGGAAGCCUUGAGGGUCCGAGAAUCUUUGCAAUAGAUCCAAAAAUGAGGUGAGCACUAAGUGGGGUCCAAAUUCCCCUAGGGAUAGUUGAGACUUGCUGCUUCCCUUGCUAGUGCAUUUGCCGCAGCGUUACAGUUCCUAUGAGUGUGUCUCCAAGGGACUUGGAUACUGCUGCAAAUGUGGCCAAUUUGGACAAAAAUGUUAUCUGGUCUCCAAGGGCAGAGGGCAUUGCCAGAAGCCCAAGCGAUAGUGUUGCUGGAAUAUCCUCUACCUACACCUUUCUGCUCCAAAGAUGAUUACAUCUUCUGAGUCCUCUGAGUAGAGACUUGGCCACAGCGAAUGUGGAGUCCUUGACUCUGAUAGGCAGAGCAUAAGAAAGGAGGAUCAGGGCUUCAAAAUUCCUAAACAGGCAUCCAAUGCUUGAGGAGCCCUGGUUGCCUAGAGAGCAGCUAUCAGUUGGCCCCAGAUUCUGGUGUCCUUCAUAAAGAAGCUCGAGGAAUCCUGUGGGUACUUAGGUGCAGCAAUGCUUGCCAAUUUUGGUGAAGAUCCGAAAAGGAGAAGAUGGAGAAGCUUGGGAGGUUUAGGGCUCAGAAUGUCACAAGUGACCUCCUUUUUUCAAUAAGAGCUGAGGUAGAGGCUCUCUCCUCACUAAAGAUCUUAUUAUUCUUCUCAAUUCAAAUGGUCUAAAGAGUGGUUGAGAUGGAAGCACUCCAUAGAAGAUUUCCUGAAUUUUUCCAAGGAGUUCUAAGGCAUAAGGAGAAGAGGUGAGGGAUCAAUUGGGGAAUGACCCACAGCCAUCUGAAUAGAAGAAGAAGGUCGAUUCAAAGGGCCAAGGCAACCUCACAAUUUAGAAAUAGAUGUUGAUUGGUUUCUUCAGCAUUGAGGCACAUGGUGCACCUGUUAGGAAAAUGUAUACCCCUUUGCUGUAGUUGAUUGAGUGUCAAAGCCCUUUCAUAGAGUGCUAUCCAAGUAAUAAGCUGGAUUUUAAAGGCAAAAAGGAGCACCAAGCCAUGGUGGCUAUAGAGGGAAAGGCAGAGAGGGGAGGAGAAGGUAGGGACUAUAAGCUUCAGUAAAAUGAAGCAACUGUGAAUAAACCUGAUGGAGAUGGUGAUCAAACAAUCUUGUCAUUGCAUGUGGGAGAAAAAAUAUCGAAUCGGGUAAGACUGAGAGAUUCAAAAACUGGUGAAGCUUGUGGUCAACUAAGAGUCUCUUGAAAUUGUGGUUCCAAGAUCUCGCAUUAGGUGGACCAGUAAUGCUUUCUGCCAUCGAAGAGGAAGGGUUACGGGUCAGACAAAAGAAAAUAGCAAGGGAGUAGUAAAGCGGGUGACGAGGAGGUGAACAAGGAAUCGAGUUUCAUCGUGUCUAUGAGGUCGGUUCGAGUACUGCUAGUUUGAAAGCAAGCUGACUGAAACAAGUAAUUGAUUCAAUUUUCGCUUCAUUGUCAGACGUAAGUGAGGGAGGAAGUGCGGCAAGUUCUAGCCUCUCUUCCCUUGAAAGGUGGCUGAACGACACCCGUAAGUAUUUGAUUUUAGGGAGAGACCAUCCAGUACCUUCACUGAGGUUCAGCCAGCGAGCCUCUUGAUCUGCCACAAAGUUGUGUGUAGCCCCAGGGACAAUCAUAGCCUCAGUAGGUUUUCAAUUGAUAGACACUUCUACAUACAUAAGCUCUCAUGCUUGGGGCUUGACUUUCUUCACUUGCCCCUUCAAUGAGCAGCCUUAGAGCCCUCAUGAGUUUUUCCAGUCUCGCGACUACGACCAUAAAGAAAAAAGACAUAAAGAAAAGGGAAAUACUGGAAAUUGUGGCCUUGAUAAGGGUUGCUUUGCAGCCUGGUGAAAGGACUCUCCCUUUUCAUGAAGCCAGGUGCCACUCGACUUUGUCUAUAACCAAGCUCCAUAACUGGAUUCGAGGAAGGCCAAUGCAAGAUGGAAGGCUAAGAUAGGAUGAGGGCGUUGGCUCUACAGCACAUCCCCAUGAGUCAGCGAAGCAUUUCAGUAUGGCUUGGUCAAGGCAAAUUCCUGUCAUCUUAGUUGUUUCUAGGUUCACCCGAAAGCCCGUAGCCAACUUGAAGCAUUGGAGGUAGAGCAAUAAAUAACUAACUUUUUAAAAAAUUGCAUCACAAAAAGGAGGGUAUCAUCGAUAUAUUGGAGGUGGAAUAUAGAGAGACCCACCUACCCACUUGGAAACCCUAAAUGCGUCUCGUGUUGUACACACGAGAUAGUGAGGCACUGAACACCUCAACUACUAUGGCAAGUAGGAAGGUGAAAGGGGUCCCCUUGGCAGAGCCCUCUCGAAGCAUGAAUGUAACCCUUAGAUGUGUCAUUAAUAGGGUCCAAAAAUUGAGGUUUUGAAUCCAUCUCAAUCAUAGAGAUCCAAAUGGCAUUCUGGACAAAGUCUCAUUAUCAUAAGCUUUUUGAUUACCAAGUCUAAGAUUUUUGCUCUACAGCAGGAAUGGAUGCACUCGUGUGCUAUUAGAGCCCCAUCGAGAAUCUGAUGUUCCUUCUCAAAGGUCCCUUGGGACGAUAAGAACACCUGGCCAAGGACACGUUUAAGGCAGGAAGCCAGGCCUUUAAGAGAAUUUUGUAGGAAGUAUUAAUCAGACUAAUGGGUUUGAAGUCUUUAUGCUCUUUUGCUCCCUCCUUCUUGGGGAUCUUGGCAAUGAAAGUGGCAUUCAUCGCCUUGUGGAUAGUAGCUGGAGAGUGAAAUUCAGAAAAGAAAGCCACGAUAUCAGUCCUAAGGUAUCCCAAAAGACUUUGAAGAGGGCUAUGGGGAAGUCCAUUGAGGUCUUUAAUGGCUUGGAGUACUUUGUCCUCCUAAAAGGGCUUUCCAAAGAGGCUGCAGAUUUGGGAGAAAUAGAAGAGAAGGAGUGGUCCGCCAUUACUGGCCUAGGACUAGAAGGGGAAGAGAAAAGCUUGGAAAAAUAUUCGACAACCGCUGCUUCAUUGAGAUUGAGAUGGUCAACAAUCUGGUCCCCCACCUUGAAGUGGGUAAUACAGUUCUCCCUUCUUUGACAGUUGGCUAUCUUGUGGAAAUAAGUUGUAUUUUGGUUGUCAAGCUUGAGCUAUCUGACUUUGGCCCGACGAGCCCAAUAAAUUUCUUCUUUCUUUAAGAGGAACUGGUAAUCACGUUUAUGGAUGGAUCGAGAAUCCAGCUGAAGGGGAGGGAGGUUUAAGUUCUUCAAUAUAGUCUCAAUGUUGAAUAGACCUCAAAAGGGAAUCUUUUUGGUAUCAGAAGUUUCCAGGGAGUUGUGAACUCCAUGAUUUCAGGAAAACUUUGUGCAUUUGAAGCUUUUUCUACAAGAUAAAACCGGCCCAUGUAUUCACGAGGGGGGAGAAGGACUGCCAAUGGUUACGGACAGGAGAGGGGAUGCUGGGCUCUUAGAGCCAAGACAACUCAAAGAGAAAAGGCUUAGGCCAUCGAGGAAGGGACUGGGUAUCUAGCAGGAUAGUUCUAUGAUUUGAGAUGGGCCUGGGAAGCACCAGAGUGUCAUGGAACUCAUGAUCCCACUUCAGAGGGAUUAGAAAUCUAUCUAAAUUUGAGAGGCUUGGAUUAGCCGAAUGACUAGACCAACUGAACUCUGCUCCUUCCAACAUGAUGUCUAGAAGACUGUUAUGAGACCAUCUAGUGUGAUUAAAAUCACCUCCUACACACCACUUAGAAAAAGGGAGGGACCUCAAAGACUGUAACUCUCUCAAAACGGCCAAUUUCUCGUUGUCUUCUUGUGGUCCGUAGACCACAAUUAACUCAAUGGGAAGCAAAUAAUCACUUUUAUUUCACUUAAUGGGGGUCAAAUCAUGAGAGAGACAUAUAUCAAAAUAGCCUUUGAAAGGUUGAGAGAGAUACUACACAAAAUAGGGAAGAUAUGGUGAAACUACACCUUGAGGGACCACACGAACUUUUCAUUAUACAAAAAGAGGCUCAAGAUAUUAUCUCAUAUGCUCAAAUAUAAUAACAUAAACCUUUGAUCGAACGUAUAUUCUCGAUAAAAAUUCCAAAAAAUUUGGAUCAAGAAACUCAAAGUGAAACUAUUCAAAACUAUGGAGUAAACAAGUUAAUCUACACAUGAUAUAUGCGAGGACUACACUAUUGCUUGGAGACUCUACAAAAACUAAGUAUUCAUAACGAAAAGAUGCAAAGAGCUACUGUAAAGUAAAAAUUACAGCAACCUUUGAUAAUAGAAAUGAGGUAGGAAUUGAAAUAUAAGAAGAAAAAUUAAUACCUUAGUGAAACAAUAGUAUGGGCUUGAUCACACACAUAAGGGACUAGUCCAUGGAAGCCACGCUUUUGUCAAGGGGGCUAUGACUCUCUCUCUUUGAAGAGAAUACUCAAGUUAGGGUUUUGAAAUGAUCCCAAAAGUUACUUUUAUAUUUAGAUCAUAAAGAUGGAUUUGAUCUUGAGCCUUGAUGCCUUGGAUGAGCUUUGACACCCUUCACUUUUUAAAAGCUAGGUUUAUAGCCAUUUUACCUUAAAUCCCUUAGCUUCAUAUUUUAUUUCCCAUUAAAUCCAAAUUCAUAUUUACACUUAUGCCCAUGGUUUUUAAAUAAUUUGUGAGAGUCAAUAAAAGAUGAGGACAUGAACAUAAAGAUAAUAUGAGACAUCCACAUAUGUGAAUAAAAUAUCUUAUGACACCACUAAUGGAUUUCAACAAUACUAAAGUUUCACAUGGGUUAAGCCCAUAAGGUGGUGUCACAUACGGUAUACCCACACGUCACAAAAUCAUAUGUGGAUAAUAAUAUAAAUUAAAUUAAUUAUCAAAAUCCCAUGACUUCACACAUGCCAAAAAAUGGCACAUGUGAGCAAAAAAAGACACGACCUAAAUCAAACUUAAGCCAUAACAAUAUAUAACACUUUAAAUAAAUGGAUAACUUGUUAUAACACAAUACCACCAAAAGAAGUAAUGACAAAUAGGUCUCCAUGAGGAUAUGACAUCAGCAUGAAAUUAGAAACACUAUGGAGAAAUUUGUACAAUUGACAAAUCUCAAUAUUUGUUAGAUUUCCAAAAAGAACCAAGAUAGCCAUUUAUAAUUGUAGUUGCUUUUGCAACUCUGAAAAUAUACACUUCGAUAUUUUAUCUAGAAGUAGUGGUUAAUAAGAAAGAUUAGUGAAGAUAGCCGGUUGAAAUAAGAUAAAAACAUGGCCCACACAUGAGAGUACCAACAAGAAAGACAACAAUUCGAAAGGGAACUACCACUGCUAUAAUUACACCAUUCGAACCCCAAAACAAAGAUAAAAAAUUUCCACAAUAAGCCCACCUAAACCCUAAAAGAACCCAUAAAUGUGAUACUCUUAAAAUUUUCUAUUGACGUAAAGCACAACAACAAAAUAUAACAAAUGAAAAAACCCAUUAACCAAGUCAGCCAACUCAUGGACAUUGUGUUUUCAUUUGCAGAGUGUCAAUGUUGGCAUGCCAUAAUUCUUUUCAAGAGAUUGCAAUUAAAAUGAAUGAAUCAAAGUGAUUGUGAGUUGACAUAAGAAUCGAACUGAUUGCAACAUCAAAGUCAACAGGAUUUACAAGUGCAACCUGGGAUUCCUAUUGCAAUCAGAAUCGAGUUUCUCUCUCUAAUUCAUGGUGGAUUAGGGUUUUUUGAAUUGCAAAACUCUAAUCCACCAUAAAUCUAAUUUUCUCCAGAUUAAUACACAACCAUUAAACCUACCUGAUUAGGAUGGCCAUAUGUCUAUGGUUGUGGAGCUUCAGACCGCAAGUUUGUGGAGAGAGGGAGCUUUGGGCAGAGAGAGAGAGAAAGUGAGAGAGAAAAGUAGAAAUGACAGGAAGAAAGGCCGAACGGGGUUUUGGGGCAUUCUAGAGCACUGUCCAGUACUACGAACAUUGGACAACAUAAGCUAGUUGUCUGGUAAUACAA
rnacentral:lncRNA from 1 species